rnacentral:rRNA from 1 species
GACGAACGCUGGCGGCGUGCUUAACACAUGCAAGUCGAACGGAAAGGCCCUGCUUUUGUGGGGUGCUCGAGUGGCGAACGGGUGAGUAACACGUGAGUAACCUGCCCUUGACUUUGGGAUAACUUCAGGAAACUGGGGCUAAUACCGGAUAGGAGCUCCUGCUGCAUGGUGGGGGUUGGAAAGUUUCGGCGGUUGGGGAUGGACUCGCGGCUUAUCAGCUUGUUGGUGGGGUAGUGGUUUACCAAGGCUUUGACGGGUAGCCGGCCUGAGAGGGUGACCGGCCACAUUGGGACUGAGAUACGGCCCAGACUCCUACGGGAGGCAGCAGUGGGGAGUAUUGCACAAUGGGCGGAAGCCUGAUGCAGCAACGCCGCGUGCGGGAUGACGGCCUUCGGGUUGUAAACCGCUUUCGCCUGUGACGAAGCGUGAGUGACGGUAAUGGGUAAAGAAGCACCGGCUAACUACGUG